rnacentral:rRNA from 1 species
UACAGGGGUGGCAAGCGUUGUUCGGAAUUACUGGGCGUAAAGGGCGCGUAGGCGGCCUUCUAAGUCAGACGUGAAAUCCCCCGGCUUAACCUGGGAACUGCGUCUGAUACUGGGAGGCUUGAGUAUGGGAGAGGGAUGUAGAAUUCCAGGUGUAGCGGUGAAAUGCGUAGAUAUCUGGAGGAAUACCGGUGGCGAAGGCGGCAUCCUGGACCAUUACUGACGCUGAGGCGCGAAAGCUAGGGGAGCAAACGGG